UGAGAAAAUCUCCCAGUCUUUGGCCGCGCCCGGCUCACCGGACAUUACAGCAACGCAGAGAGCAGCUGAAAAAGCUUAAAAGUGAUUACAGGACCACAACAACCGGAGUAGAUCGGACCGUAAGCGCUGGAAAGUUCGCCCACAGGAACGCUGUUUACGGACACCGAACGGCGAACACCCGGAAGCAGGAUGACCGCGACUCGGCUUUGUUAGAAGCGACGGCUGCGAGAAGGGUUCGAACACCACCUUCAACAUCUGUAUCAACGUCCAGCACCACACAGCAACGUGUCAUCACUGGCAAGAGAAAAAGGAACCUGUUCUAGCAGGAGAAUCUGUCUGUCCUUCAUGAGUGAUGUUGAGGCUGAAGCUGAACUGGGCCCAGUGUGAUCAACACAUCUGACUGAUCCUUGAGGAAGCAACGGUGGUGGAAGCUGCAUUUAAUCAGGCAUAUCUUGGCGUGCUGGGUGACGCUGUGCACGCGAUGCGUGACCAGGGCAUGUGACCUGCACCCCAA